rnacentral:rRNA from 1 species
GACGGAGAAGGAUAGUGUGUGCUAGCGAUUGGAAAUGCUAGUCUAAGCGUUUAGGCAGUUACGGUAGGCAAAUCCGCUGUAACGUUAAUGCUGAGGCGUGAUGGGGAAGGCCCUUGAGGCUGAAGUACAUGAUUCCAUGCUUCCAAGAAAAGCAUCUAGAGAGAGAAGUAGUGCCCGUACCGCAAACCGACACAGGUAGAUGAGGAGAGAAUCCUAAGGCCGGCGGAAGAAUUGCAGUUAAGGAACUAGGCAAAUUGACCCCGUAAGUUCGCGAGAAGGGGUGCCUGCGAGAGCAGGCCGCAGAGAAUAGGCCCAAGCAACUGUUUAGCAAAAACACAGGUCUCUGCUAAAGCGCAAGCUGAUGUAUAGGGGCUGACGCCUGCCCGGUGCUGGAAGGUUAAGGGGAACACUUAGCGCAAGCGAAGGUGUGAACUUAAGCCCCAGUAAACGGCGGCCGUAACUAUAACGGUCCUAAGGUAGCGAAAUUCCUUGUCAGGUAAGUUCUGACCCGCACGAAUGGCGUAAUGACUUGGGCACUGUCUCAACUGCAAAUCCGGCGAAGUUGUAGUGCGAGUGAAGAUGCUCGCUACCCGCGAUUGGACGGAAAGACCCCGUAGAGCUUUACUGUAGCUUAGCAUUGAAUUCCGGUAUUGUCUGUACAGGAUAGGUGGGAGACUGGGAAACUAGGGCGUCAGCCUUAGUGGAGUCGUCCUUGGGAUACCACCCUGACAGUACUGGGGUUCUAACAGGACGCCAUGAAUCUGGUGACUGGACAUUGUUAGGUGGGCAGUUUGACUGGGGCGGUCGCCUCCUAAAAAGUAACGGAGGCGCCCAAAGGUUCCCUCAGAACGGUCGGAAAUCGUUCGUAGAGUGCAAAGGCAGAAGGGAGCCUGACUGCGAGACCUACAAGUCGAGCAGGGACGAAAGUCGGGCUUAGUGAUCCGGUGGUACCUCGUGGGAGGGCCAUCGCUCAACGGAUAAAAGCUACCUCGGGGAUAACAGGCUGAUCUCCCCCAAGAGUCCACAUCGACGGGGAGGUUUGGCACCUCGAUGUCGGCUCGUCGCAUCCUGGGGCUGUAGUAGGUCCCAAGGGUUGGGCUGUUCGCCCAUUAAAGCGGCACGCGAGCUGGGUUCAGAACGUCGUGAGACAGUUCGGUCCCUAUCCGUCGCGGGCGUAGGAAAUUUGAGAGGAGCUGUCCUUAGUACGAGAGGACCGGGAUGGACUGACCUCUGGUGCACCAGUUGUUCUGCCAAGAGCAUGGCUGGGUAGCUAAGUCGGGAAGGGAUAAACGCUGAAAGCAUCUAAGCGUGAAGCCUCCCUCAAGAUGAGAUUUCCCAUAGCAUAAGCUAGUAAGACCCCUUGAAGAACACGAGGUUGAUAGGUCAGAGGUGUAAGUGUGGUAACAUAUUUAGCUGACUGAUACUAAUAGGUCGAGGGCUUGACCAA